AACGAACGCUGGCGGCAGGCUUAACACAUGCAAGUCGAACGCGCCGCUCGGGUAGAGGCGCGCAGGGGAGUGACACGUGGGAACAUACGCUUAUCUGCUCGGUAUCACCGGGAAAAUGGAAUUAAUAUCGAAGGUGCCCUUUUGGGGAAAGAUUUAUCGGAUAAGGAUCGGCCCGCGUUGGAUUAGCUAGUUGGUGGGGUAAAGGCCUACCAAGGCGACGAUCCAUAGCUGGUCUGAGAGGAUGAUCAGCCACACUGGGACUGAGACACGGCCCAGACUCCUACGGGAGGCAGCAGUGGGGAAUAUUGGACAAUGGGCGCAAGCCUGAUCCAGCCAUGCCGCGUGAGUGAUGAAGGCCUUAGGGUUGUAAAGCUCUUUCACCCGAGAUGAUAAUGACGGUACCGGGAGAAGAAGCCCCGGCUAACUCCGUG
rnacentral:rRNA from 1 species